rnacentral:rRNA from 1 species
GACGAACGCUGGCGGCGUGCUUAACACAUGCAAGUCGAACGGGCCUGUCUUCUUUUUUGGGGGGUGGGUUGAGUGGCGAACGGGUGAGUAUCACGUGAGUAACCUGCCCUUCGGUCCUGGAUAACCGCUUGAAAGGGCGGCUAAUACGGGGUGGUCCGGUUGGUCCGCAUGGGCUGGUCGGGAUAGAUUCACUGUUUUUGGUGUUUCGGCGGGGGAUGGGCUCGCGGCCUAUCAGCUUGUUGGUGGGGUGAUGGCCUACCAAGGCGGUGACGGGUAGCCGGCCUGAGAGGGUGGGCGGCCACACGGGGACUGAGAUACGGCCCAGACUCCUGCGGGAGGCAGCAGUGGGGGGUAUUGCACAAUGGGCGGAAGCCUGAUGCAGCGACGUCGCGUGAGGGACGGAGGCCUGCGGGUUGUGAACCUCUGUUUCCGGUGGUGAAGGCCCUGUCCGUGUGGUGGGGUUGACGGUAGCCGGGGAUGAAGCGCCGGCUAACUACGUG